rnacentral:rRNA from 1 species
UACGUAGGGUGCAAGCGUUAAUCGGAAUUACUGGGCGUAAAGCGUGCGCAGGCGGUUGUGCAAGACAGAUGUGAAAUCCCCGGGCUCAACCUGGGAACUGCAUUUGUGACUGUACGGCUGGAGUGCGGCAGAGGGGGAUGGAAUUCCGCGUGUAGCAGUGAAAUGCGUAGAUAUGCGGAGGAACACCGAUGGCGAAGGCAAUCCCCUGGGCCUGCACUGACGCUGAGGUGCGAAAGCGUGGGGAGCGAACAGG